rnacentral:lncRNA from 10 species
GAACUGAUCUGGAACUUUCCAGCUGGGAGGUUUGAUGGAGGGAACUUCCACACCCAGCCCCUGGGAAGAGCUCUUUGAGUCUGAAGAGAAGGCAGAGGAGAAGUUGGUUUGCUGAAGUCCAGAAGAGGCUCUGAGGGUGAGGAUCCCUACCAAGGAGGCUGCAGAGAAGAGAGGAAGGCAUUGGGGGAGGCUGCUGAGGGAGACUGACAGGGAAGGGACUGAGCAGGGAACUUACCCAGGAGUAGGAAGAGUGGCAGAGCCUGUGGGUUGUCCAUGGUGCUGGCCUCACUGAAAGGACACUGGAGAGAGACCCAGGACUGCACCCAUCCCUCCCGGGUCAGACGAGUCCAACAGGACUGGUAGCUUAGCUUCCUGGGAGGGGAAGGGAGCCAGACCCAGAGGGAGGUGCCAAGAUCCUCAACCCCAGUGUGGUGGCUGAGCUGCCCACCUCAUCCCACUCUCUUCAUUAGCUGGUCCCAUCUGCAGAGAGGCCCAGCCUGAUCCCUGCCCUCCCCACCCCCAGGGGGAAGCUGGAGAAAACAUUCCCAGCUAAAAAUGUGGGAGCAAAUUUGUGAGACAAAGCCAGGAAGACUUCCUGGAGGAGGGUGAGGUGACCUUUCCGAGAGCCCCACCUCUGAUGGCCACAGCUUCAGAGCAGGCUUCCUCCUCCCCAGCCUCCUGGCUCCUUCCACUCUGUCUUGCCUGCAGCCUCAGAUACAUCUGACCCUGCUCCUCCUCUGCUCCAAACCCUCCCACGGCUCUCUGUUGCCCUCAGAACCAAGUCUCCAGGUGCUAUCUCCUGCCAGGGCCUCUAUCCUGAGACCAGAGCUGCAUUUCCGCAUCCCCGAGGCCCUCACAUGGCCUGUGUCCCGCUAAACUCAGACUCUUUCCUCUAACCCAAACUUCCUCACACCUCCAGGAUGGCUUCACUGUCUUCGCAAAUGCUGGAGAACAUUCCCACCUCCUCCCUCCCUGUCACCACUGUCGAUCUGAGUCCAACCCUCCUCCCCCUAGUUCUCACUGGCCAGGCUCUGUCUUCUCUUCCUGCCCCGUCUCCCUCCUCUGCCCAGUCUCCUCCAUUCCCUGCCAGGGUCCUUCUAUACCCAGAGCUGAACCUGCCUCCCCCUGCUCACAGCCCUCCCCUGGCUCCCCAGUGCCCUCUGGAGACAUCCAAGGUUCAAAGCAAACUCAUGCACAGCCCCCACUCAAGCACUUGAACAUCCUGCCAUUCUUAUCCUGCCCGCCCAUCUCACCUCCCAGUCCUCUACCUGGAAUGCUCUCUCCCACUCUCCACCUCCCUCCAACCUGGCUAAACCACAACUUGUCCUUCAGGUCUCACCUUAUUAAGAACCAUAAUUACCACUUAAUUUGAGCCAGGAACUACGCUAAAUGUUUCCUAUGCACUAUCAGGCUGAACACUUCUAAACACCCUAUAAGCUGAGUGUCAUUAUACUCACUUUGCAGGCCAGGGGACUUAGGCUCAGAGAGGUCAAGGGACCUGCAGGAGGUUGCACAGCCAGAGGGAGAAGCUGGACUUGGGACCAGGAUGGUCAGACCAUUGACUCCUUCUGAUAGCUUUUCCCACCAUCCCAUGUGGAGCUUAGGGCCUCUGCUCAGCUCCCAGUCCUCUAAGCUUACCCUGGCCCAGUUCUCACCAGUAAUAAUACUGGUAAUAUAUAUAUAUUUUGAGAUGGAGUCUCGUUCUGUCACCCAGUGAGUGCCUCAGCUCACUGCAGGCUCCAUCUCCCGGGUUCAAGUGAUUCUCCCGUCUCAGCCUCUGCAGCAGCUGGGAGUAUAGGUGUGCAUCACCACACCAGGCUAAUUUUUGUUAUUUUUAGGAGAGAUGGGGUUUUGCCAUGUUGGCCAGGCUUAUCAUGAACUCCUGACCUCAAGUGAUCUGCCCGCCUCAGCCUCCCAGUGUUGGGAUUACAGGCGUGAGCCACCGUGCCCGGACUAAUAUUGGUAAUAAUAUAUAUUUAGCAUUUUUUGCAUAGCAGGUGUGGUUAUGGGGGUGCUACAUAAAUUAACCUUUCAAAACUCCAUGGAGUAGAUGAUGUAGCUUAAAGAGGGCUGCAAAUUUGAGCGUCCUCCUGUUAAGAUGCGGGGUCUAUGUCCCCUCUGCUUGGAUCUGAGUAGCUGUGUGACUGCUGGACCAAGACGUGGAAGUGGCCCUGUGCCAGGAUCUGCAUCUAGGCCGGCAUAUGCCACUUUCUGUAUCAUAGGACACUCCCUCAUGGAAUCCAGCCGCCACACUGCGAGGAUCAGCAGCCCCAUGGAGGGGAAUCAUGGCCCCUGGUCAGCAGCCCCAGCCAGCUUGCUGGCUAUGUGGAUGAGGCAACUGAAACUCAAAAUAGGAAGGAACUCACCCAAGAUCUAGCUGGCAAAGGUAAGAGUGAGCAUAUGAAAUCAAUAUAUCUGACUCUAUCAGAAGGCCAGAGGAAUGGAACACAAUUUUUUAAAUAAAAAAUUAGUCCAGGCGCUGUGGCUCACGCUUGUAAUCCCAGCACUUUGAGAGGCUGAGGCGGGCGGAUCACUUGAGGUCAGGAGUUCAAGACAGCCUGGGCAACAUGGUGAAACCCCGUCUCUACUAAAAGUACAAAAAUUAGCCGGGUGUGGUGGUGCAAGCCUGGGCAACAGAGCGAGACUCUGUCUCAAAAAACAUAAUUAAAAAAAAAUUAACCUGACUGUAGACCCAGGCUGUUCAUUGCAACGCUAAGUUUUGAUUCUCUGUGGCUUGUCUGUCUCACACCAGAACCACAGCUUCUGGCCUCAUUCUCUCCUGUGUCCCUGCUGAGACUGGGGACACAAGAGAGAAUGAGUGUCCUGCAAACAUCGUGGAUAAAAGCCCUUCUUCUCACCCACCUCACUGAUAUUUGUGUUCCAACACUCAACUUGGAAGUCAUCUCCCUGGGAAAUCUCUGACCCCACCGGCUGGGCCAGGCCAGGUCCCCCAGUUGGGUUCCCAAGGGCCCAGUGUGCCUCCACGUCUAGCAUACUUCACCCCGAAUUACAGCUGCCUUUGUCCUCAUUGUCCCCCGC